GCGGCGGACGGGUGAGUAACACGUGGGUAACCUGCCUGUAAGACUGGGAUAACUCCGGGAAACCGGGGCUAAUACCGGAUGCUUGAUUGAACCGCAUGGUUCAAUCAUAAAAGGUGGCUUUCACCUACCACUUGCAGAUGGACCCGCGGCGCAUUAGCUAGUUGGUGAGGUAACGGCUCACCAAGGCGACGAUGCGUAGCCGACCUGAGAGGGUGAUCGGCCACACUGGGACUGAGACACGGCCCAGACUCCUACGGGAGGCAGC
rnacentral:rRNA from 1 species